AGAACGAACGCUGGCGGCAGGCUUAACACAUGCAAGUCGAGCGCCCCGCAAGGGGAGCGGCAGACGGGUGAGUAACGCGUGGGAACAUACCCUCCGGUUCGGAAUAGCUCAGGGAAACUUGGAUUAAUACCGGAUACGGCCUAGCGGCGAAAGAUUCAUCGCCGGAGGAUUGGCCCGCGUUCGAUUAGCUAGUUGGUGAGGUAACGGCUCACCAAGGCGACGAUCGAUAGCUGGUCUGAGAGGAUGAUCAGCCACAUUGGGACUGAGACACGGCCCAAACUCCUACGGGAGGCAGCAGUGGGGAAUAUUGGACAAUGGGCGCAAGCCUGAUCCAGCCAUGCCGCGUGAGUGAUGACGGCCUUAGGGUUGUAAAGCUCUUUCACCCACGACGAUAAUGACGGUAGUGGGAGAAGAAGCCCGGCUAACUUCGUGCCAGCAGCCGC
rnacentral:rRNA from 1 species